AUGGGGUUGUAAAUGACGACUGGUGUCCAGGAAAAUUUCCCAAGGUCCCUUUUCUAAGAGGCAGUCCCGCUGUUUGUAGAGAGCUACGGGCACGCAUCCAUACACUUUAGAUUUCUCUCCUAAACCCCCCCAAAUCUAGUACGCACAACAUCCUUUAAAAUGCUCCCUCAAACCCCAGAAUCCUUGUCUCUCCUUCCCACCCUUGCCGGCCAUUCUGGAGUCUGCGCUUUCAACAGGUGCUCGGGUGACAGAUUUCGUGGCCGGUGGUUGCAAACACCUGUAUUCCUGGUCAGCCUCAAUCCCGGGAAAACCAGGGACCGGCCCGGGAAUCCCACUUGGAUCUCAAGCCUGCGCAGCUAGGAAGGAUGCCUGCAGUGCGGAGGGGAGGGCUCUAGGUCAUCCCCGCCGCCAGCCCCCAUCCGCAGGCCCCCUCGGAGGACAGCCUCCCCGGACCGCAGUGGGGUGCAGCAUCUCGCGCAGGUGCAUAGGGACGCCACCGCAGAGCCAGGGGCUGGGAGGAGGGGUCUCAGCCAUUUCCACUUAAAAAAGUGACGCCUAGGGCUAAGCGGGUGAAGACCCACGGGGAUGACGCUGACCUCGCCUGGCAGGGGCUGGGCUGGGAAGUGAUCUCGGUGGUCGGAGGGACGUCAACGCUCCCGUUCUUUAGGGACCCCGGGACCCUGAGGCCCAGGCUGAAAGGCGCAGCUGUCCACCCCGGGAGCUAACCUUCGGCCCGCCUUAGCCGCCUUAGCCUCACCCUUUCAGAUCACUCAAGCCAAGCAGCCCCGAACCCGCUCCGAACCGCAGCCGCAGUUCCGCGGGCGCGAGCAGCGCGCGGACGGCUGGGGGCGGGGCUUGGCGCAUAGGGCGGGGCCACAGACACCAACCCGCCGCGAUUGGUCGGGGCGGGGCUUGGUGGUGCAGGGGCGGGUUCAGCGGCCCUUCCCGGCUGUGAUUGGUGUGGGCGGGGCGUCGGGCCGGAAGCAAAGCUGGGCCACGUCUGCGAGGUCUGAGAGAGUUGGUUUGGUGUGCACUGUGCGGCCGCGUCUCGCCUGUGGAGAGAACGUUCUUACUCCAGAUCUAGCUUGGGAAGAACAGCAAAAGAGCCACGUGGAUUCCAGGUUUCUGACCUUCAGCCUCAGCCUUUUAUGAUUAACCGAUGCCCACACCGGAGUUGACCCUUCUGUAAAAUAAAAUGAUGGUGUGAUGGCA
rnacentral:lncRNA from 1 species